UUGUUUCGCAGUGGAAGCUAUUAAAGUUCCACCACUGAUAUGGAACCAUCAGGCCGUAAGAGUCUUAAGAGAAGAAAGAAAUAUAUUAUAUAAGUGCAAGGGAGUGCUAGAUAAAUUAUAAUAUUUGGACAGAUGUCCAGUAUUAAGAGGUGGUGUUAAAGAGGGGAGUAUUAUUCACUAGUUAAGUUAGAGUUAAGUAAGUGUUCUUUAAGUUAGGUUUAAGUAAGUGUUGUUUCAGUGUUCUGUAAGUUUGUGUUAAUUAUUGUGCUUUGUGUUUGUGGUGUUCUAAAUGUUCAAGUUUAAUAUGUGAAUUAAUGUCUUUCUUUGUAUGAAUCUGUAUUUUCGUAAAUAUUUUAAUUUUCCGUCUUAUUUAAUUUUGAUGUUAUUAUGUUCUUUGUGAUCGUAAUCUUUGUUAAAAGCACUUUAUAAGAUAUGUUUUAACAUAUGUUGAUAGAACAUAUGAGAGUGUGGAUUUUGUUGCUAUUUUUGUAAGAACUAUGUGCGGGGUGCAGUACAAUUAUAGCAACACAGUUUGGCUCAGUGGUGUUGGUUCGGGGCAGUAUGAUGCUUGUUAGGUAAACCAAUAAGUUUCUUAUAUUAUUUAU